UACGAAGGGGGCUAGCGUUGCUCGGAUUGACUGGGCGUAAAGGGCGCGUAGGCGGUUCGUACAGUCAGACGUGAAAUUCCUGGGCUCAACCUGGGGGCUGCGUUUGAUACGUGCGGACUUGAGUGCGGAAGAGGGUCGUGGAAUUCCCAGUGUAGAGGUGAAAUUCGUAGAUAUUGGGAAGAACACCGGUGGCGAAGGCGGCGACCUGGUCCGAUGCUGAUGCUGAGGCGCGAAAGCGUGGGGAGCGAACAGG
rnacentral:rRNA from 1 species